AUGCAAUGUUCUUUCUGUCCCACCUCAGUUUUUCUUCUGACAAGAAGAAAAAGACCAAAGUUCUAUUUUGGGGCUGCGUUUUUCCUGUUUGCAGGAAACCACAGGGUGAGACACAGCGUUCUGAGAGUGGGCUGCAGGAAGUCUGCUGCAAAUUACCCUUUAACACUGCGUGAAGGAGCUUUUAGUGCCUUAAAGGAGCAAUCAUGUUCCAGUGUCCCAUCAGCUCCUUGCCUGUCACUGGUGGUCUCAGAGCUCAGGAUUUGCUGCUGCACCAGCCAAGGUUCUGCAUCAGCUUCUACAGAAACCCUGACUGAUACAUUGAUUUUGCAAGUGUGCAUGUGCUGUUUCAUACACAAAUUGUCCACACAAGAAAAUUUUACAAAGGAAGCCCUUCCUGCAAAGAUCUGAGGCCUUGGGUAGCUGCAAGAUCCUGUACUACAAAUGGUUUACUGCAGUGUCAAAAUGUACAAAAAUCAUUCCACCUGGUAUAUUCACUUGGAGCAGAAGGCAUCAUUAGGGAAUUUCUGUCACCAUGAAGAAAAUCAGGAGUGACAGGAAGCAGAGGUUUUGUAUAACCAGUCCUGAAACACUCAGUGUCAUUGCACAG
rnacentral:lncRNA from 1 species